rnacentral:rRNA from 1 species
GAUGAACGCUGGCGGCGUGCCUAAUACAUGCAAGUCGAGCGAACAGACGAGGAGCUUGCUCCUCUGACGUUAGCGGCGGACGGGUGAGUAACACGUGGAUAACCUCCCUAUAAGACUGGGAUAACUUCGGGAAACCGGAGCUAAUACCGGAUAAUAUAUUGAACCGCAUGGUUCAAUAGUGAAAGACGGUUUUGCUUUCACUUAUAGAUUGAUCCGCGCCGCAUUAGCUAGUUGGUAAGGUAACGGCUUACCAAGGCAACGAUGCGUAGCCGACCUGAGAGGGUGAUCGGCCACACGGGAACUGAGACACGGUCCAGACUCCUACGGGAGGCAGCAGUAGGGAAUCUUCCGCAAUGGGCGAAAGCUUGACGGAGCAACGCCGCGUGAGUGAUGAAGGUCUUCGGAUCGUAAAACUCUGUUAUUAGGGAAGAACAAAUGUGUAAGUAACUAUGCACGUCUUGACGGUACCUAAUCAGAAAGCCACGGCUAACUACGUG